rnacentral:lncRNA from 1 species
CUAAACUACCUUUCUGGCAACGCCGUGCGCAUGCCAAAGCAUUUGAGAAGUGGUACGCCCGCGUCAUUCUGUUGAGAAUUGCUUAUCAGCCAUGCCUGAUAAUGCUAGCUAUGUAUUGGUAGAGAUCGCAAUUACGGUUCCUGGGCAUCGCAUUAGCCCAAUCAUGCUAAAUCAAGGCGCCAUUCGGAUUCCGUCAAGCUUGCAGCCAGGAUAGAUUAUAUAAGCUAUACCCACGUUAAAUUAUCUAUACAUAAGAGCGCGGGUUGCCAUACACAUCAUUCAAAUGUGUGCAGUAACGGCACCGAGGCGCCGACUAACAAUUCCAUAACAUCGCACAGGUGCACACACGCGCCGACUCUACGGGCAACUGAAGGCUCAAUGCAUAAUUCUGCCAUACUGGGCUCGUCCUAACUCCAAACGUGGUGCUCGCGAGGUUGUAAUGUCAAGACUCUCGUAACGAAAGGCUGUUCUGGCAAUCAAGAUAGUGGCCCACGUGAUAUGGCCAGAGAAGUGAGUUAUAAUACAUGUUAGAUGGUAAGCCGAGAACAACUCUGCUGCGAGAUGCGAACGUUAGCCGCCAUGGCAGAGGAAAAUGAGCGAGCGUGCUCGUGGGCAAUCCUUACAAGAAUUCGCCGAUCAAAGUGGAAUGGUGUCGGAGUUGCAAGGUAAACUCACUCAUAGGUUGUGAAAGCUACUAUCUAUGUGCUCGACUUGUUCUGAAGAGGCCUG